AUACGGGGGAUUCAAGCGUUAUCCGGACUUAUUGGGUUUAAAGGGUGCGUAGGCUGAUAAAUCAGUCAGCUGUCAAAGACUGGGGCUCAACCCUGGUAUGCGGUUGAAACUGAUAUGCUGGAGUGCUGUAGAGGCAAGUGGAAUUCCCAGUGUAGCGGUGAAAUGCGUAGAUAUUGGGAAGAACACCGGUGGCGAAGGCGACUUGCUGGGCAGCAACUGACGCUGAGGCGCGAAAGCCAGGGGAGCAAACGGGAUUAGAUACCCCGGUAGUCCUGGCCGUAAACGAUGAAUGCUAGGUGUGUGUGUAGAGAUACAUGCGUGCCGGAGUUAACGCGAUAAGCAUUCCGCCUGGGGAGUACGGCCGCAAGGUUGAAACUUAAAGGAAUUGACGGGG
rnacentral:rRNA from 1 species